GAUGAACGCUGGCGGCGUGCCUAAUACAUGCAAGUCGAGCGAACAGAUAAGGAGCUUGCUCCUUUGACGUUAGCGGCGGACGGGUGAGUAACACGUGGAUAACCUACCUAUAAGACUGGGAUAACUUCGGGAAACCGGAGCUAAUACCGGAUAACAUAUUGAACCGCAUGGUUCAAUAGUGAAAGGCGGCUUUGCUGUCACUUAUAGAUGGAUCCGCGCCGUAUUAGCUAGUUGGUAAGGUAACGGCUUACCAAGGCAACGAUACGUAGCCGACCUGAGAGGGUGAUCGGCCACACUGGAACUGAGACACGGUCCAGACGCCUACGGGAGGCAGCAGUAGGGAAUCUUCCGCAAUGGGCGAAAGCCUGACGGAGCAACGCCGCGUGAGUGAUGAAGGUCUUCGGAUCGUAAAACUCUGUUAUCAGGGAAGAACAAAUGUGUAAGUAACUGUGCACAUCUUGACGGUACCUGAUCAGAAAGCCACGGCUAACUACGU
rnacentral:rRNA from 1 species